UGACGUCCCCAUCAAUCUCUCCGUCCCCCUGAAUCACAGACCCAAGAUAUCGGACACUGUCCCUCUUGGCGAUGGCCUGAGAUCCAAUCAUCAUGUCCCUGCCUACCUCGCUCGGCUCGUCGCCAAACUUGCACUCCAGGUAUUCUGUCUGCUUAUUUUGAAACCUUUAGACUCGAGGGUCUGUCUCCGUACCUCUAACCUUUCACUAACACUGACCCUCGUCUCGUCUAUCAAUACUAUAUCAUCAGCAAAAAGCAUACACCAAGGCACAUCCCCUUG
rnacentral:lncRNA from 1 species